GUGAAUGCAUGAUUCUAAUGAAAUUAAGUGUAGUAGUCACAAUUUACACUAACGUUAAACAUUCUUCGUCAAGCGAUUCUUAGUUUAGUUUAGUGAACAUUUCCGGAGGAACUCGCUGUUUCAGUUCAAGUUCAGUUCAAUUUCAAUUGCAUUCUCAAAACCUCUAAUAGGAGCUUAGGGUUCUCAUCCUUUUGGUAGAAUUAAUUCCUUCGUGGGAUAACUAAGAACUUAAUGUUACAUUAGAACAACAGCAGAAAAAUAAAUUGCAAACGAUGGGUAAACACGUCUUCGAAUUAGUCUUAGCGAUUUUGCUCGUUUCCCAAAGUAUUGCGCAAUUGUUCGGAGGUGGUGGUUUCCUACCAAACGGUGGAAUGGGGGGCUACAAGUAUCACCCAGUAUGGAGGUCGUUGCCAGGAAAUUUCGAUGGACGAAACCGAGAUCCGGCCAGUGUUGACAGUGGGGCGCAUUUCAAAUUACCAAACGAAGGAUUUGCCGGAGGAAGGGUGGUUAUUCAACCUGGAGUUUGCGGAAUGGGCUCGUUAUAUGGAAAAGUCAACGUCUUUGAUACACUUACGGAUCGUCUAGAUGUACAAGGUCAUCACGACCAAUACUUAAAUAGAGAUUUCAGACCAGUGGGAAAUGCUAGGAGUCAAAUAGGCGCAAAUUAUAAGCACGCAGGGGGCGCCACAGCGCUAAUAAGUAGCAGUAAAGUUGGGGAUGGUUCCAUUCAUGGAUCCGUUGAGUAUCAGUGCCACUGGUUUAUACUCCACAAGUUGCGGGCGAAGGAAUGAAAGCACAAGGUCAGAUAGGUAUUGUGGGCGAAUUUAACCUUUAAUUAUAGUUUUUUAAUCGUGACACUUAAUUUAUUGUUAAUAUAACACAAAUGAUAUCUACAGCUACACAUAUAACUAAAUAAUAAACUGUACAAUAUUUAGUAAUAGGUACCUACAUUUAGUUUGGAAAGCACAAGAAAGAUGGAGGAAUAAUUGAAAUUACUCUUCUGUCACAAUCCCCAGCUUUUGUUCUGAUUGUCGUGUCUACGUCAAGUAUUUUAUGAAGUAUUAUUAUAUUUUUACUGUUGGUUACAAUAUUGAUCGUAUUAUUCAGCUUUGUCCUUUUUUUUUACAGCAAUGUUGAAUUUGUAUAGACAGUAUACAGACAGACAGACAGAUAUGCAGACACAAUCGACUCCUU